rnacentral:rRNA from 1 species
GUCCAUACAGUAAACGAUGGGUACUAGUCGUUGGGAGUCUUUACCCUCCCAGUGACGCAGCUAACGCAGUAAGUACCCCGCCUGGGGAGUACGGUCGCAAGAUUAAAACUCAAAGGAAUUGACGGGGGCCCCGCACAAGCAGUGGAGCAUGUGGUUUAAUUCGACGCAACGCGAAGAACCUUACCUGGGUUUGACAUGCCCUUGACCGCCACAGAGAUGUGGUUUUGUAGCAAUACACAGGGGACACAGGUGCUGCAUGGCUGUCGU